ACUCGUUUGAGGAGCUGCCGGUGGGGCC
rnacentral:sRNA from 1 species